rnacentral:rRNA from 1 species
AUUGACUUCACGGUAAAGCUUUUGCGGUUUGGGAUGGGCCUGCGUCCUAUCAGGUAGUUGGUGAGGUAAGUGCUCACCAAGCCUAUGACGGGUAGCUGGUCUGAGAGGAUGGUCAGCCAGACUGGGACUGCGACACGGCCCAGACUCCUACGGGAGGCAGCAACUAGGAAUUGUGCGCAAUGGACGAAAGUCUGACGCCGCGACUUCGCGUGGAGGAUGAAGGUCUUCGGAUUGUAAACUCCUUUUCUUACCGAACAAGUUCUGAGUGUAGGUAAGGAAUAAGUGCCUGCUAACCACGUGCCAGAAGCAUCGGUAAUACGUGGGGCACGAGCGUUAUCCGGAUUUACUGGGCGUAAAGAGAAGCGUAGGCGGCUCGAUAAGUUUGGUGUUAAAUCUUCCGGCUCAACCGGAAACAAGCACCGAAAACUAUCGAGAUUGAGUCGAGUAGGGAAGAGGGGAAUUCCUGGUGGAGCGGUUAAAUGCGUAGAUAUCAGGAGGAAUACCAAGGGCGAAGGCACCUCUUUGGACUCGUACUGACGCUGAGGCUCGAAAGCGUGGGUAGCAAAACGGAUUAGAUACCCGUGUAGUCCACGCCGUAAACGAUCCCUGUUAGAUGU